ACUGUAAAAUAUUAGUUAUAUUUAAUUUAUUCCUACCUGAUUUAGGAUUAUCAAAACUCCUAGAUAAUAGUUAUCUUAUCCUAAUUGGUUUAGGAUUAUCAAACCCUUUAAAUACCCUUCAUUAUGUUUAAAUUUUGUAACAUUAUUUACAUCUUUAAAUUUCAAUAAACCUAUUUUUGCUUUAUUUUAUUAUUAGAUUCUGGAUUGAAUCUUGUAUUUCUUAA
rnacentral:misc_RNA from 1 species